GUGGAAUAGCUACCUGCGUGAUAGGCCAGGUUGUGUGGGGACCACUAGAGCCUAUCAAGAGUCUGCUAUGCUAUGACACGUACAAGUUUAGUAAGAGCCCCUCUGGCUUCAGAGUGUCUGGACGAAGGGAGAUUUUUGCAGCAGUAAGUGACAUGUGGACUACUGGUCCCAGCAAGGCUACAAAUUGUAGAACUUGGAUGAGGCUCAAGGUGGUACCAGUCCUGCAAUUAACCAAACUACAUACAUCUAUUCGCCAGAGGAGGAUUGGCCAUAGCAUCUACAGGGAAGAUUCCCGGUGGGCCGCCGCACCCGCGGGUCCUGUUUUGUUUGAGGACAUGUGGUCCUAUUUAUCGACAUAAUGAAUAAGAUGCCAAACAAUUUGCAUAUAUGAAAAGGUCUUUGCCACUUAGUCUGUGAUUGCAGAUGAUCUAGUGUAUACUCUGUCUGCCUGCUUGGCUGACAAGAUUGAGUGAAUAGUGAUUGGGAUACGGUUGGUGUAAUAAGCAAGAAACUAUAUCUUUCUAAAGAAUGAUAUAGUUUCCUAAAUUCUGAAGGUGUAUCAUAUAAUGUGCUCAUAAUAUUUAAUUUUAUUUCCUUUUAACUUCCCCCUGAUGCUGGACAUCCCCACUAUCUGGAAAGUCUUGGGGGGACGGUGCUGCUGCCAUGGCCCAUGGCUAGACCUUACACCUCUGGUGCUGCCCAUGUGGGGCCACUAGUACAAAUUUUUCCAGGGCCGCUUUUUGUUCCCAAUCCGCCCCUGUCUAUUCGCUUAUCUCAAAGUAUCUACCAACACGACCUCUCCACUCUGCACAAGAUCUGUGUCUCUCAUUCACACGCAUUACUCGCUCCCAUCCACGGCUACAGGACUUUUUUUUGGGCUGCACCCACUCUGUAGAACGCCCUUCCACAUAAAAUAAGACUUUCCUCUAGUCUCCAAACCUUCAGGCAAGCUUAUCAGAUUCCAGAACUGCCGACAUAACAUUCAUAAGCUUUCCAGUCUGUACAGCCCAUCUGUACAGUCCACACAGAUCCUCACAUAUUUUCUCUUCCUUCACUUUAUCAUCCUGCUGACCCUUAGCCAACAUUGCUGAUUGACCCUAUCAUACGGCCCACCAAAAAUCUCUGCAAUGUGGUGGACCAUUAUGCAUCAUUGUGUAUCAAUGUCUAUUUCCCUAUAGGGAAACAGGGCCUUCCUACAUCUAUAUGUGUCUGUUAUUACCCAUUCUUGUUUUAUUACUGGGUGAUCCCAAUUGUAAAGCGCAAUAGAAUAUGUUGACGCUAUAUAAGUACCUGUAAAUAAUGUGACAAGAUCACUGGAAUAGUGGUGGAAGGCAAGAAUAUUUGCAACAGGUUACGUCUUAGUUUUAAAACCCCAGGAAUAUUGUGUUGGUUCUGCUGAGAACUUUUGGUACGAACCAAAUAAGGGUCCUGGGGUUGGAUGUGAGAAGAGAGGGCGGGUUCUCCAUCCUUUUAGGCCCAGUUCAAGUAUUUGUACUUUUAGCCUCACAGGAGACUAAUUAGGGCAUUCAGCUAUAUGGGUGUGUCACACUGCUUGGGGAAAAGGAGAGACUAUGGAGUCUCUGAAAGAGAAACCUGCUCUUGAAAUCCAGUGAGCUGGGCCUGGUAAAAACCUAUUGUUUUGUUUUAUUAGUGAGUUAGUAUUAUCCUGUGUAUAGUUAACGCCGGAAGGCAAGGUAUUUGUUUUGAUGUUUAUUUCUUU